AGUGAACGCUGGCGGUAGGCCUAACACAUGCAAGUCGAACGGCAGCACAGUAAGAGCUUGCUCUUACGGGUGGCGAGUGGCGGACGGGUGAGGAAUACAUCGGAAUCUACUUUUUCGUGGGGGAUAGCGUAGGGAAACUUACGCUAAUACCGCAUACGACCUACGGGUGAAAGCAGGGGAUCUUCGGACCUUGCGCGAUUGAAUGAGCCGAUGUCGGAUUAGCUAGUUGGCGGGGUAAAGGCCCACCAAGGCGACGAUCCGUAGCUGGUCUGAGAGGAUGAUCAGCCACACUGGAGCUGAGACACUGUCCAGACUCCUACGGGAGGCAGCAGUGGGGAAUAUUGGACAAUGGGAGGAAGCCUGAUCCAGCCAUACCGCGUGGGUGAAGAAGGCCUUCGGGUUGUAAAGCCCUUUUGUUGGGAAAGAAAAGCAGCAGGUUAAUACCCCGCUGUUCUGACGGUACCCAAAGAAUAAGCACCGGCUAACUUCGUG
rnacentral:rRNA from 1 species